UACGAAGGGGGCUAGCGUUGCUCGGAAUCACUGGGCGUAAAGCGCACGUAGGCGGCUUUUUAAGUCAGGGGGUGAAAUCCUGGAGCUCAACUCCAGAACUGCCUUUGAUACUGAGAAGCUUGAGUCCGGGAGAGGUGAGUGGAACUGCGAGUGUAGAGGUGAAAUUCGUAGAUAUUCGCAAGAACACCAGUGGCGAAGGCGGCUCACUGGCCCGGUACUGACGCUGAGGUGCGAAAGCGUGGGGAGCAAACAGG
rnacentral:rRNA from 1 species